GAUGAAGAAACGCAGCGAAAUGCGAUAAGUAGUGUGAAUUGCAGAAUUCAGUGAAUCAUCGAAUCUUUGAACGCACAUUGCGCCUCCUGGUAUUCCGGGAGGCAUGCCUGUUCGAGCGUCAUUAAAAUCACUCAAGCUUAGGUUUACCUAUUGCUUGGUCUUGGAGAUGGAAGCCAAUUUAUUGGAAUCCUCUUCGAAAUUCAAUGGCGAAGACCCUUGCUCUCCCAAGUGUAGUAAUAACUUAUGUCACUGAAGGAAGCGAGAAAUCUUCUGCCGUAACCCCCAUAUUUUCUAUGAUUGACCUCGGAUCAGGUAGGGAUACCCGCUGAACUUAAGCAUAUCAAUAAGCGGAGGA
rnacentral:misc_RNA from 1 species